rnacentral:rRNA from 1 species
AUUGAACGCUGGCGGCAGGCCUAACACAUGCAAGUCGAGCGAGCGGCGGACGGGUGAGUAAUGUCUGGGAAACUGCCUGAUGGAGGGGGAUAACUAAUGGAAACGGUAGCUAAUACCGCAUACCAUCAGAUGUGCCCAGAUGGGAUUAGCUAGUAGGUGGGGGAACGGCUCACCUAGGCGACGAUCCCUAGCUGGUCUGAGAGGAGGACCAGCCAUCCUGGAACUGAGACACUGUCCAGACUCCUACGGUAGGCAGCAUUGGGGAAUAUUGCACAAUGGGCACAAGCCUGAUGCAGCCCUGCCGCGUGUGUGAAGCAGGCCUUCGGGUUGUAAAGCACUUUCAGCGGGGAGGCGUUACCCGCAGAAGAAGCACCGGCUAACUCCGUGCCAGCAGCCGCGGUAAUAC